CUUGGAUAUGCCUAUGUGGGACACAGUUGGAACGACUGCUAAUACCGCAUAACGUCUACGGACCAAAGGGGGAUCUUCGACCUCUCGCCAUUGAUUAGCCCAAGUGAGAUUAGCUAGUUGGUGAGGUAAAGACUCACCAAGGCGACGAUCUCUAGCUGGUUUGAGAGGAUGAUCAGCCACACUGGGACUGAGACACGGCCCAGACUCCUACGGGAGGCAGCAGUGGGGAAUAUUGCACAAUGGGGGAAACCCUGAUGCAGCCAUGCCGCGUGUGUGAAGAAGGCCUUCGGGUUGUAAAGCACUUUCAGUUGUGAGGAAAGGGUAUUGGUUAAUAGCCACUAUCUGUGACGUUAACAACAGAAGA
rnacentral:rRNA from 1 species